AACGAACGCUGGCAGCAGGCCUAACACAUGCAAGUCGAACGCCCUAGCAAUAGGGAGUGGCGCACGGGUGCGUAACGCGUGGGAAUAUACCCUUCACUGCGGAAUAACGUUUGGAAACGAACGCUAAUACCGCAUAAUGACUCCGGUCCAAAGAUUUAUCGGUGAAGGAUUAGCCCGCGUUAGAUUAGCUAGUUGGUGAGGUAAUGGCUCACCAAGGCUACGAUCUAUAGCUGGUCAGAGAGGAUGAUCAGCCACACUGGGACUGAGACACGGCCCAGACUCCUACGGGAGGCAGCAGUGAGGAAUAUUGGACAAUGGGGGCGAACCCUGAUCCAGCCAUGCCGCGUGAGUGAAGAAGGCCUCGGUUGUAAGCUCUUCAGUUGUGAAGAUAAUGACGGUAGCAACAGAAGAAGCCCCGGCUAAAUUACGUGCCAGCAGCCGCGGUAAU
rnacentral:rRNA from 1 species